UCUCCUACGGGGGGCAGCAGUAGGGAAUAUUGCUCAAUGGGGGAAACCCUGAUGCAGCGACGCCGCGUGUGGGAAGACGGUCCUCUGGAUUGUAAACCACUGUCCCCAGGGACGAAAAUGACGGUACCUGGGGAGGAAGCUCCGGCUAACUACGUGCCAGCAGCCGCGGUAAUACGUAGGGAGCGAGCGUUGUCCGGAAUUACUGGGUGUAAAGGGAGCGUAGGCGGGGAUGCAAGUUGGGGGUCAAAACUACCGGCUCAACUGGUAGUCGCACUCAAAACUGCAGCUCUUGAGGGAAGUAGAGG
rnacentral:rRNA from 1 species